GGAUGAACGCUGGCGGCGUGCUUAACACAUGCAAGUCGAACGGUGAACGAGGGAGCUUGCUCCCUCCGGAUCAGUGGCGAACGGGUGAGUAACACGUGAGUAACCUGCCCUUGACUCUGGGAUAAGCGUUGGAAACGACGUCUAAUACCGGAUACGACCCUCGGAGGCAUCUUCAGGGGGUGGAAAGAACUUCGGUCAAGGAUGGACUCGCGGCCUAUCAGCUUGUUGGUGAGGUAACGGCUCACCAAGGCGACGACGGGUAGCCGGCCUGAGAGGGUGACCGGCCACACUGGGACUGAGACACGGCCCAGACUCCUACGGGAGGCAGCAGUGGGGAAUAUUGCACAAUGGGCGAAAGCCUGAUGCAGCAACGCCGCGUGAGGGACGACGGCCUUCGGGUUGUAAACCUCUUUUAGUAGGGAAGAAGCGAAAGUGACGGUACCUGCAGAAAAAGCACCGGCUAACUACGU
rnacentral:rRNA from 1 species